rnacentral:lncRNA from 1 species
UCAAAAAAUGGUUUAGACGGUGAAAUUCCUGAAGAGUUGGUAAAUUUGAAGCAUCUUAGCUCGUUGGACCUUUCUCACAACAAGUUGACAGGCAUCAUCCCUGAAAGCCUGGCCAAUCUUUCCUCCUUGAAACAACUGAACCUUUCUUUCAAUCAACUUGAAGGCCGUAUUCCUGAAUCCGGCAUAUUCAGAAGCAUUAACAUGUCUAAUUUGGAUGGAAACCCAGCUCUGUGCGGAACAAAAACUCUCAGAACAUGCAGCUCAACGAGGAAAAACUCCCACCAUUUGUCCAAGAGGACAAAGUUGGUACUUGGCUGCUCAGUUGCUGUUGUUCUGAUUCUAGGUCUCGUGCUACUGACGUUAGCACUCAGUCGAUAUCGAUAUGGCAAAAGGAGGAAGUCAGAAAGGGUUGAGGCCCAAGAACCAGAGUUCAUUUCCGCAACGACACUUAGAAGGUUUGAUCGAACAGAAAUAGAAAAUGCUACGGGCUCCUUCAGUGAGAACAAUAUUAUUGGUAACAGCAAUUUGAGUACUGUUUACAAGGGUCGACUAGAAGAUGGGGAGAUCGUAGCAGUGAAAAAACUGAAUUUCCACCAAUUCUCUGCAGAGUCUGACAAGAGCUUCUACCGCGAGGCCAAAACCUUAAAGGAGCUGAAGCACAGGAAUCUGGUUAAGGUGCUGGGAUAUGCUUGGGAAAGUGGGAAACUCAAGGCAUUGAUUCUGGAGUACAUGGAAAAUGGAAGCUUGGAAAGCGUUAUACAUGGACCUGGUGUGGAUCACUCAAGGUGGACGCUGCCCAAAAGAAUCGAUGUUCUUAUUUCCGUUGCCAAUGGGUUGGAUUAUUUGCAUUCAGGUUAUGACAUCCCCAUUGUUCACUGUGACAUGAAGCCUUCCAAUAUUCUCUUAGACAGAGACUUUGAGGCUCAUGUGAGCGAUUUUGGUACGUCUCGAAUGUUGGAUGUUCAUCUGCAAGACCUCUCCUCGUUAUCAACAGCUUUUCAAGGCACUAUUGGCUACUUGGCACCAGGUAAAUCCUUCGAGCUCAUCAGCGUUUCCUUAUUACAGGUCUUAAUUUCUAUGUAAGUCUUGUACUUAAUCAUAUAUGUGUUCUUUUCUUAUCAGAGUUUGCGUAUAUGAGGACAGUCACGACUAAAGUAGAUGUGUUUAGCUUUGGUAUAGUGGUCAUGGAGUUCUUGACAAAACGGAGGCCAACAGGACUGGAUGAAGAGAAUGGGUUGUCGCCUAUCAGCUUACGUCAACUUGUGGAGAAAGCUUUGGCAAAUGGAAUCAACGGGGUUCGUCAAAUCACGGACCCUAAACUGGUUUUGAGUAUUUAUGAAGAGCAGGAGCAGCACCAAGUAUUGGAAGAGCUGUUUAAACUGGCCUUAGUUUGUACGUCCUCAAAUCCUGAGGAUCGUCCCAAUAUGAAUGAGGUGCUGUCUAUGCUUCAGAAGCUAAGAGAAACCAGAUUUGGAAAUCGAGAUGAACACUUUCCUUUCGAUGAAGGAGAAUCAAACACGACAGCGCCUUUAAAAGAACAGUUCUAUUGAAGUUCAUAUUCCGGUCUUUAUGGAAUAUUUGUUUAAUCAUAACUUCAAUAUAAACGCCCUGACGUCAUUCACAUUGGAACAUUGUAACUUAAUUUUGGCUGAUCGUCGUUGAUUGAGAGGAUGAUUGCUCUCUUACUUCUUUUAUCUAUUUAUGUAUUCCUAAACACUCUGCACAUAGAAUAACAAGCUGCAAUUUUUCUUUUUUCUUUUUCUUUUUUCAGCUUUUGAUAACCUAGCCAUUUUGAGAAAAAUGGAAAAGAGAAGACUGAAAAUGAGAAACGUUAGCAAAUGGUGAGAAAAGCUUGCUAGUAAAUUCUGAAUUUGGCUAGCAAAUUCCAUUUCAACAUCAUGUGUUUACAGUCACAGAUGUGUUAAUAAUGAUUAGUUUUAACUGUUAAUGAAAAUAAAAGGAUAUGAAUUUGCACCAAGUCAAUGUAGCCAAAUACCCCCAAUCUAUUUUUCUUUUUCCGUUUCUUGGGGACACGACCAUCUCGCAAUUAAUUUGAUACAAGCAACUAAUCGAGCUAACAAAUCAUGUACAAGCAUCUAAAACGAGCUAAAAGAAACUCUCAUGUAUUCAUUCAUUGGAUCUUGUAGUCAUUAAGAAAUGACACAACUGAAGCUGGUACAUUAUCAACGACGCCUUUGAUUUUUUCAAAUAGUUGAACAUGGAUUUUGCUAAUCCAUCAAUUUCUUGUUGCUCAAAGACGAAGAAUGCAGUGAAUGCAAAUGCCAGAGCUGCAUUGAGUUUCGAACAAUAUCAAUUUGAAAAUGGAAAAACCUUGAACAUCAAAUCGGACCACUGAGGGAUAGGAAGAUCAAGAGUUGCUUAGCUAAACCGAUUGACCAAGUGAAGACUGCAACAUCAAUUUGAAAAGAUAAAUAGAACCUGCAACCUGUAGAAAUUUCAAUGCAGUGUAAGGCCAAGCUUUCACCGGGAAAGGAAACAAGUUCAAGAGCAUAGAGCAAAAGCAAGUAUAUGUCACUUUGAGGCUGACAAGUGCAAUUAUCGGACAAAAACCUUGAUUUCCUGCUUAACUCGUUAAGAAAUGGUUACCAUAAAAAUUGCUUGGAAGACCACCUCUGGAAACUUUAAUAUAAUCUGCACUGCAUACCUUGAACAAGUUAUUCCAAUCAUCUGCUUUAGCCAACAGUCUUUUACUCUGAAACCCCAUGUUCCUUAAAAAUGCUAUUCUUGCAUGGAAUCUUUUAUUGUGGUUCUGAAAUUUCAAAACAAGACGGAGCUAUGCACUUAACAUCGAAGCCAAAUUUGCACAGAAAAGGCAAAUAGUCAGUAGAACUAAAUAAUCUUGUGACACAAAUGAGCUUAAUGAUGAAACUACAUCAAAAUCAAGAGAAGGCUUAUUUGAAAAUCAAAUUCACGUACAAUACUCUAGAUUCUGGACAAUGAACUGAGAAAUUAUGAAGAAACAUCAAUGGCAUAAUCUAACAAGCAAUUAGAAAGAACAAAUUCCACCAUAUGUUAAAGGAACUCUAGUGGGGUGAGGGAUGGUUGCCAGCAGAGACCUAGACAUGCAAGCAAAUAAAGAGUGAAGGGGAAAAACAAUAGUGAAAAUUUAAGUUUUGUAACUAGAACAAGUACAUCCAUUACAUUCGAAAAGUGAAUAACAUAAAUGUUGAACGAGGGGGGAACAUGGCUGUUUUUGGAGAAGUAGUACACACAAGGGAACAAUAGAAGAUAUACAAAGCGCCUUAAUGACCAUCCAUACUUACAUGUUUGAUGGUAAAAUGCCAUAUCCAAAAGGGACAGCAGAAACCAGCAAAAGAAGCAUGGCUUCUUCCACAACGGAAAAACCAAGAAAAUAACAGAACCAGAGCAAGGAAGUACGUAAAUUACGUAAAUGUUUUCUUCUCAUCACUCCACAGGACCACAGCAAAAUGUCCGCAACUGCACUGACAUACUUCAAGGUCAACACACAGUAAUAUUCACAUAAAAAACAUCCUACGAACAGACUAUGUCUAACUUAAAAGCAAGUUCUGCAAAGUAAGCUCUUCUAGUGAUGGUCAACUACGGCAGUCUGAUUAUUCUGUUGUGAGAUUUGGUGCAUAAUAGAACAUGUAGUUUCCUCGCAGAAAUAUGCCUUACUUGUCAUGUCUGUGAUGCUAUGAUACAAUUAACAACCAAGCCUAGAAAAGCAAACCAGUUCCGCCAAAACCAGCAACAUCUGCUGUGGCAAAUUUUUAAUAGCUAGCCAGCCAACCAGGUGUCUAGAACAAUGUUUACUGUGUCUAUCGUGUUUGAUAUCCAACCUUUUAAUUUGUCACACAAUAUUAACAGCUGACUUUUACAAGAUCUUUGGAUAAGCUAAUGAUCCUACAACAUAUAUCAGUAAAAACUAAAUUUUAACCAUAAUCUACAGCCAAAUGUUGUCUUAGGUUGACUUUUGAGACCAUUUCAGAAAAUGUUUGAUGUUAUAAGUUUCCAACCCUCCUCACUGCCUAGUGAUUGUUUGUUAAAGUCUCUGGAAUAAGCUAAAGAUGAGUCUCUGGCUAAAUGAGAGAAUGACUGAAUGGUUGAAGAGACACCUUCCUGCAAAACGAACAAUCAUCACAGGCAUAUGCUAAACGUCUGACAACUCAAAAAUAAUUAGGCUAAUCCUUCAUGCCAGUACAUUCCAAAUAUAAGAAACAGAGAAACAGCCUGCAUAUUACCAUGGAGACUAUGCGCUAGGAUCGAUUGCUCUCAUAGUAAGUCCAACAACACUUAUUAGGCGGUGAGAAAGAGAGAAAGAGAGAAAGAGAGAAAGAGAGAAAGAGAGAAAGAGAGAAAGAAUCUUUUCACAUUUCGUUGAAUAAGGCGAAGGGGUUGGAUAAGAAAAAGGCAAAAGAAACAAACCCAAGCGAGUGGCAAUUCUUUCCCUCUCGACCACUUGCAGAUGGGAAAACAAAUCCCUGUCUCACACAUUGCUUCCAAUAAAACAACGGAAGUAGCCUUCAACCAAUCUUUUCCCUUCUAACCACUUCCUCAACUCUUAUUAUUUCUUAAUAAACAAAAUGUUCCUCACCAAGGUUGUAUUUCUAAUGUGGACCUUGAGUCACAUGGUCAGAUCUAGGGAUGGCAAAAAUUCCCACGGGGACGGGUACCUUUGGGGAUUUUUCCUAUUCGGAGAGGGUAUGAGGAUAAUUUUAUACCCAAUUUCUUAUUUGGGGAAGGGACGGAGAAAUUUUCUUACCCAAUUUCUUAUUCAGGGAGGAGACGGGGAUGAGGUGGAAUCCCCAUCCCCUACCCAUUUCCCCAUUUUAAUUUUUAAUUUUAUUUUAAUUUUUUAAAUUUACUAGUAAAUAAAUAAUAAAAUUUGAAUUAUAAAAUUAUAAAUAUUUGUAAAAAUAAAAAAUAUCAAAAUAUUUAUAUUAUUAAACUUUUAGGCCUAAUUAACUAAUUAAAGUCCUAAAUUUUUAUUUAGGACGUUAAAAAAAACGGGUAAAUUCUAUUAACCCAAAAAUUUUGUUUUAAUUUUAAUAUUAAUUAAAUGUUUUAAACUUAAAUCUAUUUUUUUAUUUAUUUUUAGAUGUUAUAAUUGCCCACAGCGAAUCACAAUUUUUAUAUCUAAUCUAAUCUAAUCUAAUCUAAUAUUUGCUCUUGAUUUGAUCUGACUUAACUAUUGUAUUGUAAAAGGAAUAGUCUGCAUUUAUAAAGUGCCCACGCCACCAUUGAAAAAUUUUGAAUCUAAAUUCAAUUUUAUUUGUAACAAUUUUGUAUUAGACUAUUAAUUUAUUCACGAUAGUUUGUAAAAGAAGUUUAUAUCCCUUACAUGUUGCGUUACUUACUAAUUUAAUGUAUGUGACUUUUGUAAUGGAUAUUAAUGUAAGAUAUAUUUCAAACUUUACUUUUAUUUGAAUUUUUUAUUUUAAUAUGAUUAACUCAAAAUCGAAAACAAAAAAUGUAUUAAUUAUUCGGGGAUCGUGGAUCCUUGGGGAUCCCCUGUUAUUAUUUGAGAAUGGGAUAUAGAUUCUUUCAAGUAAUUCUAACGGGGACGGGGACGGAAACGGGACGGAGACAUAUGCAAAAUAUCGAGAAUAGGUAUAAGUAGAUUGGUCCCCUCCCCUCCCCUCCCCAUUGCCAUCCCUAGUCAGAUCAUCUAGUUCUACUGGGUCCUCUUGCCAUGGCCAACGUGACAAAUUGAGCAGAAAACAAGAUAUAACCACAGAUAAUGGCACUAGUUCCCAAAUUGAAUAAAAUAAUAAGAAUGUAACAGAAGUCCUGAAGGAUUAUAAAAUCUUGAUUUCAUCAGUUUCCCGAAAUUAAGGAUUUUGAAAUCAGAAAGGCUAACAGAACAUAUUAAAUGAAGAACACAUAGAGCAAAAGACAAAAUAUAUGUAUGAAGAAAGGCGUCAGACCAAAAAGUAACGUACUUCCAGUGCUUUUGUGCAGGCAGCAGCAAUGCAGUCAGAGAUUCCGGUGCGAGAGGCUAAUUGAAUGAUGUCACAUGCUGAUAGAGAAUGGCUGCGCGCUCUGAGGCCCAACUUUUCAUGGAUCCAUUACACAAGCAGGAUAAUAUACCAAACAAAAGAUCAAAGAGAGGAAUCAAAUAAAAGAAAUGAGAUUUUUAAGUCCAUGCAUCAGCAUCUAGGACAGGAAACACUUGACAGCAUCCUAAUUUGACUCCUGUGAUUUAACAUUUCAACGUAAAAUUAACAAUUCUAUGUUGGUAUCAAUUGUUGCCGUGUUUUCUGAUUGUGUGAUUGCCAAGUUUAUGAAAGUUCAAUUCAAGAAAAUGAAAAUCACGAGUUAAUAGAGUUCCGUGGGUGCUUGGUAAUAACUUGUAUGAAGAUAAAAAUCAUAUUGAAAUUAUUUUCGGUAUCAUGGAAGGCGUUGAAAGUAUUGUUUUAAUGGUUGAAAGAAACCCCUCCACCCUUGUUAUUACAACUCUUCACUUAUACGAAUACAAAAGCCCAUUGUUUCAAAAACUUCCACUCAAUUUCAACUUGCAAGCCAUCAAACUAAUCAAAUCAAACCAAUGGCUUCGCAUCCAAUCAAACGAAUCAAGGAAAAAAAAAAAAAUGAAACAAAUCAAGAUAUAGGUUAUAAAAAUGGGCCCCUCCCGAACACGUCGGCAGUAUCAAAAUCAUCACGUAAAAGAAGAAGAAUCUGCUAUCAUUUUGCCUUAUUGUCGUGACCAAAUCGCGAGUCAGAAACGCAGAAUCAACCCCAUAAUUUUUCUAUCCGUUUUUUGGGGCUCGCACAUCAAUGGGUCACUCUGCAAGUCUGUAACUGCCGCAUCAAGCAUAAAAAUUAUAUGAUUUAAUUAUGACCCAAUUGCUCGAUCUUGUACAAGAAUAAGAUUGCUACUAACACUUGUUUAUUGUAUAAACGUAAUACGUAUUAAAUCUCUAUGAGUGGACGGUCAUAGUUUCGUAAUGUUUAUAUUAAACGUUGGCGGUAUCUAUCUCUUCUAGAUAAUGGCCAAUAGUUCUUUGUCAUCAUGUGUAGAGCUCAAAGUCAAACAUUAGGAGAAAUUGAGCCUAAGGUUCAAAGAACCCAUGUGAUUAGCUUGACAUAUUCUGUCACUAACGGGACCGUUUGAUAUGAUUUAACAUUUCUAUAUAACUUUCCCCCUUCAUUACAAACUUUCACAUCUCGCAAAUGGAGUCUCAAACAGUCAGCUUAAGCUUAAUCGUAGUCAUAUUUUUUUCUCUCUUUUCCACUGUUGCAUUAUCACCUGCAGAACGAAGCUUAGAAGAAGUAGAAACUGAAGCCUUGAAGGCCUUUAAGAAUGGCAUCACCAGCGACCCUUUAGGAGCACUUGCUGAUUGGAAUGCCACAAAUCAAAUUCAUCACUGCAACUGGUCUGGAAUCACCUGUGACCAUUCGUCAAACCAUGUCAUUGCCAUUAAACUCGUCGACAAGCAGCUCCAAGGCCAGAUAUCUCCAUUCCUUGGCAACCUUUCAGCCCUCCAGGUUCUCGAUUUAUCUUUGAAUUCAUUCUCUGGGAGUAUUCCGGCUCAGCUGGGGCAAUGCUCCCAGCUUGCUGAACUAACUCUAUACUAUAAUUCUCUUUCGGGUUCCAUUCCACCAGAAAUAGGAUCCCUUCAGAAUCUGCAAGCAAUGGACUUAGGAAAGAACUUCUUGAAGGGAAGCAUACCCGAAAGCAUUUGCAACUGUACUUCCUUGUUAGCGCUUGGUCUCAUUUUCAACAAUCUUACUGGUACAAUCCCAAAAGACAUCGGAAAUUUGAUAAGCCUUCAAAUGUUUGUAGCAUACCACAACAGGCUUGUAGGUUCAAUUCCAGUUUCCAUGGGUAGAUUAGAAGCCUUGCAAGCUUUAGAUGUGAGUCAGAACAUGUUGUCGGGAACAAUACCUCUAGAAAUAGGAAACCUGUCAAACUUAGAAUAUCUUCAGUUAUUUGAAAAUUCUAUUGGAGGAAGAAUCCCGUCCCAAUUAGGCAAUUUUAGAAAGCUUCUCGCGCUUGAACUGUACACCAAUCAGCUCACGGGAAGCAUUCCCUCUGAGCUUGGAAAUUUGGCUAGCUUACAAUCAAUGCAUCUACACGAAAAUAGAUUGAAUUCCACAAUCCCAAUUUCUUUGUUCCAGCUGAAAUCUUUAACUCGUUUAGGACUCUCCCAGAAUGAGUUGACCGGAACAUUACCCCUUGAGCUAGGAUAUUUAAGGUCAUUACGAGUAUUGACCCUACAUUCCAAUAAGUUCACCGGGGAGAUCCCUUCUUCACUGACAAACCUGACAAAUUUAACAUAUUUGUCAAUGAGCUUCAAUUCCUUAACAGGGAAGCUUCCAUCAAACAUCGGGUUGCUUCAUAACCUCGAAAAUCUGACCAUGAAUAACAAUCUUCUUAAGGGAACCAUUCCAUCUAGUAUCACCAACUGUACCCAUCUCGCAUCCAUAGGUUUGGCAUUCAAUAGGAUUACUGGGAGAAUUCCCACUGGUUUAGGAAAGCUGCAAAACCUUACAUUCCUAUCUUUGUCAUCAAAUGGUAUGUCCGGAGAAAUCCCCGAUGAUCUUUUCAAUUGCUCAAAUCUUGAAAUUCUCGAUCUGAGUGAAAACAAUUUCAGUGGACUGCUGAAACCAGGAAUCGGAAAGCUUAAUAAUCUCAAGAUUAUGAAAAUCCGAACAAAUUCCUUUAUUGGGCCAAUACCACAAGAGAUCGGCAAUCUGAGCCAACUCAUGACCUUGUCUCUUGCUGAAAAUAGUUUCACAGGUCCUAUUACAUCAGAGUUAUCCAAGCUUUCUCACCUUCAAGGACUCUCUUUGCAUCACAACCGUCUAGAAGGUGCAAUGCCUGACAGACUAUUUGAACUGAAGCAGCUAACCUAUCUUGAUUUGCAGCAAAACAAGUUGACAGGUCCAAUUCCAAAUGUUGUCUCAAAUCUUGGGUUUCUUUCAUACUUGAACCUCCAAGGCAACAAUCUUAACGGGUCAAUACCAAUAAGCAUGGAGCGUCUUCAUCGACUUUUGACCCUGGAUCUCUCUCAUAACCAUUUAACAGGAUCCGCUCCAGGAUCUAUGAUUGCAGGUAUGGGAAGUAUACAAAUAUAUUUGAACUUCUCAUACAAUUUAUUGGAGGGAAGUAUUCCAGAUGAGAUUGGUAAGCUGGAAAUGGCACAAGCCAUUGACAUUUCAAACAAUAACCUCUCAGGGAAAAUUCCUAAAAUGCUUCAAGGCUGCAGAAAUCUGUUCUCUCUUGAUCUGUCAGGAAAUAAACUUUCUGGUGCAAUCCCUCCUGAAGUUUUUGGUCGAAUGGAUAUGCUUAUGAGCUUGAACCUUUCAAAAAAUGGUUUAGACGGUGAAAUUCCUGAAGAGUUGGUAAAUUUGAAGCAUCUUAGCUCGUUGGACCUUUCUCACAACAAGUUGACAGGCAUCAUCCCUGAAAGCCUGGCCAAUCUUUCCUCCUUGAAACAACUGAACCUUUCUUUCAAUCAACUUGAAGGCCGUAUUCCUGAAUCCGGCAUAUUCAGAAGCAUUAACAUGUCUAAUUUGGAUGGAAACCCAGCUCUGUGCGGAACAAAAACUCUCAGAGCAUGCAGCUCAACGAGGAAAAACUCCCAUCAUUU